AACGAACGCUGGCGGCAUGCCUAACACAUGCAAGUCGAACGAGACCUUCGGGUCUAGUGGCGCACGGGUGCGUAACGCGUGGGAAUCUGCCCUUGGGUUCGGAAUAACAGUUAGAAAUGACUGCUAAUACCGGAUAAUGUCUUCGGACCAAAGAUUUAUCGCCCAGGGAUGAGCCCGCGUAGGAUUAGCUAGUUGGUGAGGUAAAGGCUCACCAAGGCGACGAUCCUUAGCUGGUCUGAGAGGAUGAUCAGCCACACUGGGACUGAGACACGGCCCAGACUCCUACGGGAGGCAGCAGUGGGGAAUAUUGGACAAUGGGCGAAAGCCUGAUCCAGCAAUGCCGCGUGCGUGAUGAAGGCCUUAGGGUUGUAAAGCUCUUUACCCGGGAUGAUAAUGACAGUACCGGGAGAAUAAGCCCCGGCUAACUCCGUGCCAGCAGCCGCGGUAA
rnacentral:rRNA from 1 species